UUCCUUAACAGUCUUUAAGAAGCAGAAUCAUCCCAAGAGUAAAAAAUAAAGUUCAAAUGAUAGACAAAAACAUAUGAAAUAUAACUGUCCAGCCUCCUCUGUUGAGUCACAUGGCUUGAAUCAUAGAGUUAUGUAUGUUUGGGUGUUUCCCAUUUGGCUGUUUCAAUAUGGGUGUGUUACUCUGUACAUGCUUUGCUUGGAAGCUGAAAUGCAUCUCUUCUCUCUGCUAGGGUGAACUGGAUCAUCGUACAUGAUUUCAGUUACCACGUGUACCUAGGCUCUCAGUUCUCCAAGCCACCCGAUAACUCACCUUUGGGUGCCACUCAGUAAGCAGAGUCGUAAGAGCUGACACCAGUGGGAUGAAGGAUCAGCCCAAGGCUUGGUGGCUUUCCCUCCAUUUCUGUUUUCUCUGCCUUUUCAAGAUUUUCAGGAGAACCCAACCACCAAUCACUGCCGCACUUCUUUCUUGGUUGAUACUCACUAUAGUCAGAGAGUUCAAACCAUACCUCUGACCUCAGAAGAACUGGCACAGUUUUAGUCCAGUAGGUGCAGCGCAUGUCACAGUACUGAGAACACCCAAGAGAAGGGCAAACCUCUCUAGGGGCUGAGAGGGUCGCUUCAGUGCAAGGGUGAUGACCAUUGGGCCAUGAUCUCCAGAGAUGAUUUCUGGUUCCAGUGGACUUGUCUGGUUAGAACACCGCUUUUUCAAUCUCUGCCAAUCUCUCUCCCACUCCUCCUUUCCUCCUUGCCUCCCUUCCCUUCUCUUCUCUCCCGUUUGGCAAUAGUUUUUGUCUCUAAUCUAUACUGGAAACUUCACAUUAGUAGUUCUUUAAGCUACUAACAUUCCUCCCACUACUACUGCUACCAUUGCUAUUAGACUGUUAGUACUGCUAUUACUGGGCUUCCCUGGUAGCUCAGAUAGUAAAGAAUCCACCUGCCAUUGUAAGAGACCCAUGAUCCCUUGGCUCAGGAAGAUCCCCCAGAGAAGGAAAUAGCAACCCACUCCAGUAUUCUUGCCUGGGAAAUCCCAUGGAGAGAGGAGCCUUGCGGGCUACCGUCCAUGGGGUCUCGCUCAGCGCACAGCUGAGCGACUUUCACUUUUCACUGCUAUUAUUACUGUUAGGGUGACCAUUCCUGUCAUCACUACAGUUGUCCUUCUUGUCACUCUUACUCUAUGCCAUGAAAUGCGUGAAACCUUUACAUACAUCAUCUCAUUUAAUCUUUACAAUGGCCCCUUUGGGUAAUUUUCAUUAUUGUCUCUUCUUUCAAGUAGGAUUAAUCAUCUUAGGGAGGUGAAGUAAGUUUCCUAGAGUGUCUGAACUUGUAAGUAGUGGAGCUGUGCCUUUGAACUGAGGUCUGGUGGAUCACAGAGCCCACUCUCUUAACUGCUACCAGGCUCUGAGCUGGAAAAUUCCUGCCUGGGAGCUGACACCCUCUCUUUCUGCAGAACUGUCAGAUAUUGCUAAGAAACUCCAACCUUUUUUCUGCCCAGAUAUGAUCUCAGAAUCUUUCAGAAAGGGCCUAUGCAGCCAGUAGCGAAAAUCCAUCAGCUUUGACACGUGAGCCAAAUCUGAACAAAUCCUGUUCGUGAACCGUGUACUAUGUGACACAAAAUGGUGUCCCCCUCCUCCUCUGCUUUCCAUUUCAUGGUUCUCCUUUGGAACUGAGAUGACAGGGAACUGAAAACAAAGCCCAAUCGCUUGGAAGACACAAUGAUGUAGAGCCAGCAGCAAACACUGAAGCUCUUGUCAUGAUGUAUCGUGUCCCUUCCCUUGAAUGACAUGUAUUGAUGACUGCUCUGCAUACUUGAACAAUGUAUCUUUAUUCACUGUGUAAUAAAAUAAAACCGUUUAUUCUCUCUUUUUCAUUA